AGCAGCCGCGGUAAUUCCAGCUCCAAUAGCGUAUAUUAAAGUUGUUGCAGUUAAAAAGCUCGUAGUUGAAUUUCGAGACCGGUUUAUUGGUCGUGCUUUUGUACGUACUGGUAUUAUUGGUUUCUCCUUUCUGACGAAUCUUAAUGCCAUUAAUUUGGUGUUUUGGGGAAUCAGGACUGUUACUUUGAAAAAAUUAGAGUGUUUAAAGCAGGCUCACGCUUGAAUACAUUAGCAUGGAAUAACGGAAUAGGACGUUUGAUUCUAUUUUGUUGGUUUCUAGGAUCGACGUAAUGAUUAAUAGGGAUAGUUGGGGGCAUUAGUAUUCAAUUGUCAGAGGUGAAAUUCUUGGAUUUAUUGAAGACUAACUACUGCGAAAGCAUUUGCCAAGGAUGUUUUCAUUAAUCAAGAACGAAAGUUAGGGGAUCGAAGACGAUCAGAUACCGUCGUAGUCUUAACCAUAAACUAAUGCCGACUAGGGAUCGGAUGAUGUUAAUUUUUAAUGACUCAUUCGGCGCCUUAC
rnacentral:rRNA from 1 species